rnacentral:rRNA from 1 species
CCUACGGGAGGCUGCAGUGAGGAAUAUUGGUCAAUGGCCGAGAGGCUGAACCAGCCAAGUCGCGUGAGGGAAGACGGCCCUACGGGUUGUAAACCUCUUUUGUCGGGGAGCAAAGCGAACCACGUGUGGUUCAUUGAGAGUACCCGAAGAAAAAGCAUCGGCUAACUCCGUGCCAGCAGCCGCGGUAAUACGGAGGAUGCGAGCGUUAUCCGGAUUUCUUGGGGUUAAAGGGGGCGCAGCCGGAGGUGAAAGUCAGCGGUCAAAUUGCGGGGCUCAACCCCGUACUGCCGUUGAAACUGCAUCCCUUGAGUGCGCGAGAAGUAUGCGGAAUGCGUGGUGUAGCGGUGAAAUGCAUAGAGAUCACGCAGAACUCCGAUUGCGAAGGCAGCAUACCGGCGCGCAACUGACGCUCAUGCACGAAAGCGUGGGUAUCGAACAGGAUUAGAUACCCUAGUAGUC